AGUUUGAACCUGGCUCAGAUUGAACGCUGGCGGCAGGCUUAACACAUGCAAGUCGAACGAUGAAACUCUAGCUUGCUAGAGANGAUUAGUGGCGGACGGGUGAGUAACAUUUAGGAAUCUGCCUAGUAGUGGGGGAUAGCUCGGGGAAACUCGAAUUAAUACCGCAUACGACCUACGGGUGAAAGGGGGCGCAAGCUCUUGCUAUUAGAUGAGCCUAAAUCAGAUUAGCUAGUUGGUGGGGUAAAGGCCCACCAAGGCGACGAUCUGUAACUGGUCUGAGAGGAUGAUCAGUCACACCGGAACUGAGACACGGUCCGGACUCCUACGGGAGGCAGCAGUGGGGAAUAUUGGACAAUGGGGGCAACCCUGAUCCAGCCAUGCCGCGUGUGUGAAGAAGGCCUUUUGGUUGUAAAGCACUUUAAGCAGGGAGGAGAGGCUAAUGGUUAAUACCCAUUAGAUUAGACGUUACCUGCAGAAUAAGCACCGGCUAACUCUGUGCCAGCAGCCGCGGUAAUACAGAGGGUGCGAGCGUUAAUCGGAAUUACUGGGCGUAAAGCGAGUGUAGGUGGCUCAUUAAGUCACAUGUGAAAUCCCCGGGCUUAACCUGGGAACUGCAUGUGAUACUGGUGGUGCUAGAAUAUGUGAGAGGGAAGUAGAAUUCCAGGUGUAGCGGUGAAAUGCGUAGAGAUCUGGAGGAAUACCGAUGGCGAAGGCAGCUUCCUGGCAUAAUAUUGACACUGAGAUUCGAAAGCGUGGGUAGCAAACAGGAUUAGAUACCCUGGUAGUCCACGCCGUAAACGAUGUCUACUAGCCGUUGGGGUCCUUGAGACUUUAGUGGCGCAGUUAACGCGAUAAGUAGACCGCCUGGGGAGUACGGCCGCAAGGUUAAAACUCAAAUGAAUUGACGGGGGCCCGCACAAGCGGUGGAGCAUGUGGUUUAAUUCGAUGCAACGCGAAGAACCUUACCUGGUCUUGACAUAGUGAGAAUCNUNCAGAGAUGAGAGAGUGCCUUCGGGAACUCACAUACAGGUGCUGCAUGGCUGUCGUCAGCUCGUGUCGUGAGAUGUUGGGUUAAGUCCCGCAACGAGCGCAACCCUUUUCCUUAUUUGCCAGCGGGUUAAGCCGGGAACUUUAAGGAUACUGCCAGUGACAAACUGGAGGAAGGCGGGGACGACGUCAAGUCAUCAUGGCCCUUACGACCAGGGCUACACACGUGCUACAAUGGUAGGUACAGAGGGUUGCUACACAGCGAUGUGAUGCUAAUCUCAAAAAGCCUAUCGUAGUCCGGAUUGGAGUCUGCAACUCGACUCCAUGAAGUCGGAAUCGCUAGUAAUCGCAGAUCAGAAUGCUGCGGUGAAUACGUUCCCGGGCCUUGUACACACCGCCCGUCACACCAUGGGAGUCUAUUGCACCAGAAGUAGGUAGCCUAACGNAAGAGGGCGCUUACCACGGU
rnacentral:rRNA from 1 species